CCCUUAGACGUUCUGGGCCGCACGCGCGCUACACUGAGUGGAUCAGCGGGUCAGGUUGCGCGAAAGCGUUUCCUAAUCUUUAAAUCCGCUCGUGAUGGGGAUUGACGGUUGCAAUUUUCUGUCAUGAACGAGGAAUACCUUGUAAGCGCGGGUCAUCAUCCCGCGCUGAAUACGUCCCUGCCCUUUGUACACACCGCCCGUCGCUCCUACCGAUUGAGUGGUCCGGUGAGGCUUUGGGAUCUGAGCGGAAAGAGCGUUUCGCUGUUUCUGCUCGGAAAACUCAGUCGAACCUUAUCAUUUAGAGGAGGGAGAAGUCGUAACA
rnacentral:rRNA from 1 species